rnacentral:rRNA from 1 species
UACGGAGGACGCGAGCGUUAUCCGGAUUUAUUGGGUUUAAAGGGUGCGUAGGCGGACUGUCAAGUCAGCGGUAAAAUUGAGAGGCUCAACCUCUUCCCGCCGUUGAAACUGGUGGUCUUGAGUGGAUGAGAAGUACGCGGAAUGCGUGGUGUAGCGGUGAAAUGCAUAGAUAUCACGCAGAACUCCGAUUGCGAAGGCAGCGUACCGGCAUCCAACUGACGCUGAGGCACGAAAGCGUGGGGAUCAAACAGG